UGUUCCAAGGCCUUCGGCAUGUUAAGAAUGUUGUAAAGUCCGAGCUGCUGGCAAGACGGCUGGGUCUGGGGGUUUCCACUCCCCCCUCCGGACAGCAAAUCGGCAAUCUUCCCCCCCCUCCUCCGGGGGCUCAGUUGGGGCAAGUAGCUGCGCCCGAAAGCAGGCGUGGGGGGGGGCGGGUGCUGGCGAAGGACGUAGACGGAAAAAAACCACAAAAAAUGAAAAAAAAACCAAAAAAGCGUUUGGCCCGGUCGGAGGGGGACUAAGGCAGGUGCAAAAAGUAAGAAAAAUCCGGGCCAGGGGGCUUUAGGAAAGAAUAGAAAGCAGAUAGCUGAGGAGCAAGCAAAAGACGUUCCGUUUCCCAACAGGGAAGGUUCCAGAACAAUCAGGAACCUUCUGGAGACAAUUAAGACAGACAGGCUGAUUAGAACACCUGCAGCCAAUCAAGAAGCUGCUAGAAUCAAUUAAGGCAGGCUAAUCAGGGCACCUGGGUUUAAAAAGGAGCUCACUUCAGUUUGUGGUGCACUUGCAGGAGCUGGGAACAAGAGGCGUGAGGAGCUGAGAGUGAGAACGCGGACUGUUGGAGGACUGAGGAGUACAAGCAUUAUCAGACACCAGGAGGAAGGUCCUAUGCAAUGCAACAUCCUUGCGGAAAGGUGUAGACUGUCCAGCACUGAAUGAACAACCUGGCCAUGAUGCUGAGUUAACAACACAUGGAGAAGAGGAAGAGACUUGGGAGGUCAAACCUACAGUGCACGGCUGGAGAAUCAACAUUGUUUUGGCCAGGCUGGGGCAAUCAGGAUCAGCUUGGUAUGGUCCAAUUUGAUUUUGAGGAUAACCUGAGGGAUUAGAGGGAUAGGGAGAAAAAGCAUACUUCAGACUUGGACCCCAAUUCAGAUGAAAUGCAGUGAGGGAUCUCAGACUGAACCCUGCUCGCGAACUGAACUGAUGACAUUUCCUUACGUUCUUUGUCAUGAACAGGUUGAUGAAAGGGACCUAUUCUUCAAAGAGGGCCCUGAGCACACUGUUCUUUAGCGAUCACUCGUGACUGUCCGAGAAGGUACUGCUGAGGUGAUCAGCCAGCUGAUUCUGAGACCCUGGAUCAGCCUCAGCAGAUCGAAAAGAUCCAGCAUGAAUGGAAUGUGACUGAGGACUUUCUUCUCAGACUUUCCUCUUACUAGCCAGUCAUCCAACUAUGGGAAGACAUGAAUUCCAUUCCUCCGGAGAUGGGCAACUACCAUCAUCAUGCAUUUGGUAAAAACACACAGAGGCAAUGACAGGGCAAAGGGGAGAACCGUGUAUUGCCAAUGACAAUUGCCAACUAGGAAUCUCAAGAACUUCCUGUGGCCCAGAAAGAUCAACAUAUGAAAAUAAGUGUCUUGUAGAUCAAGAGCAGCAAACCAAUUGCUACAAUCCACACCGGAAGGAAUAGUAGCCAGAGCAACCAUGCAUAACCUGAUAUGUUUGAUGUAUCAAUUAUCCCCAUAUUGACUGGGUACAUGUCACCUCAGGAAGA